CGGCAGCAGUGAGGGAUAUUGCGCAAUGGGCGAAAGCCUGACGCAGCAACGCCGCGUGGGCGAUGAAGGCCUUCGGGUUGUAAAGCCCUUUUCUGGGGGAAGAGGAAGGACGGUACCCCAGGAAUAAGUCCCGGCUAACUACGUGCCAGCAGCCGCGGUAAAACGUAGGGGACAAGUGUUAUCCGGAUUCACUGGGCGUAAAGCGCGUGCAGGUGGUGCUUUAAGUUGGGCGUGAAAUCUCCCGGCUUAACUGGGAGGAGUCGUUCAAUACUGAAGCACUUGAGGGCAGGAGAGGGAGGUGGAAUUCCCGGUGUAGUGGUGAAAUGCGUAGAUAUCGGGAGGAACACCAGUGGCGAAGGCGGCCUCCUGGCCUGCUCCUGACACUAAGACGCGAAAGCUAGGGUAGCAAACGGGAUUAGAUACCCCGGUAGUC
rnacentral:rRNA from 1 species